GGGUAAUUAGCUCAAAUGGUAGAGCGAUCGCUUUGCAUGCGAUAGGUAGGGGGAUCGAUACCCCCAUUAUCCA
rfam:Blastocystis sp. NandII AV274scaffold_239, whole genome shotgun sequence.